UCAAAUGCAGAUCCUGACUUC
rnacentral:miRNA from 1 species